GCCUCGGUAUCUCAGUGGUAGAGAACCUAUAUAUUGUGAGCGAAAGUGCCUGGCAAUAACUGGCAGGAUUUCUCAGGUUCGAAUCCUGCCCGGUGGCU